GAUGAAGAACGUAGCGAAAUGCGAUACUUGGUGUGAAUUGCAGAAUCCCGUGAACCAUCGAGUCUUUGAACGCAAGUUGCGCCUCAAGCCAUUAGGUUGAGGGCACGUCUGCCUGGGCGUCACAUAUCGUUGCCUGAUGCCAGUUUCCUCGUGAUGGGUGACUGUGCAGGGCGAAUGAUGGCUUCCCGUGAGCAUUGUUGCCUCAUGGUUGGUUGAAAAUUGAGUCCUUGGUAGCGAGCGCCGUGAUAGAUGGUGGUUGAGUGACGAACGAGACCCAAUCAUGUGAGACCCCUACCGAAUUUGGCCUUCAUGACCCACAUGCGUCUUUGGAACGCUCAUGACGAGACCUCAGGUCAGGCGGGGCUACCCGCUGAGUUUAAGCAUAUCAAUAAGCGGAGGA
rnacentral:misc_RNA from 1 species